GAUCUGCUCCAGGGAGGACCCAGUGUGCAUCAUGGAAGCUGUGGCUCAACUCCUCUGUCUCCUGUUUCUCUGGGUCCAAGAUUCCACUGGAGAAGUCCUGUUGACCCUGUCUCCAGCCUCCCUGGCUUUGUCUCCAGGAGAAGCAGCCACUCUCAGCUGCACAGCCCAUCAGGGUAUUAGCAACUACCUAGGCUGGUACCUGCAGAAAGAUGCGCAGUCUCCCAGGCUCCUCAUCGAUGAUGCCUCCUGCAGGGCCACUGGCAUCCCAGCCCGGUUCAGUGGCAGUGGGUCGGGGACAGGCUUCACUCUCACCAUCAGCAACCUGGAUCCUGAAGAUGUUGCAACUUAUUAGUGUUACCAGUAUUACAGUGGGUUCCCCUGGUGAUUCAGUG